AUUGAAAGCUGGCGGCAGGCCUAACACAUGCAAGUCGAACGAGUGGGGACGGGUGAGUAACACGUGGGUAACCUCCCAUCAGAGGGGAUAACACUUGGAAACAGGUGCUAAACCGAUAGUGAUGGAUGGACCUGCGGUGCAGUAGCUAGUGGGUGAGGUAGCGGCGCACCAAGGCCACGAUGCAUAGCCGACCUGGGAGGGUGAUCGGCCACACUGGGACUGAGACACGGCCCAGACUCCUACGGGAGGCAGCAGUAGGGAAUCUUCGGCAAUGGACGCAAGUCUGACCGAGCAACGCCGCGUGGGUGAAGAAGGUUUUCGGAUCGUAAAACUCUGUUGUUAGUGAAGCGGUAUCUAACCAUCAAGCCACGGCUAACUACGUGCCAGCAGGCGCGGUAAUUC
rnacentral:rRNA from 1 species